rnacentral:rRNA from 1 species
UGUUCCUACGGGAGGCAGCAGUGGGGAAUAUUGCACAAUGGGGGAAACCCUGAUGCAGCGACGCCGCGUGAAGGAUGAAGUAUUUCGGUAUGUAAACUUCUAUCAGCAGGGAAGAAAAUGACGGUACCUGACUAAGAAGCCCCGGCUAACUACGUGCCAGCAGCCGCGGUAAUACGUAGGGGGCAAGCGUUAUCCGGAUUUACUGGGUGUAAAGGGAGCGUAGACGGCAUGGCAAGCCAGAUGUGAAAUACCGGGGCUCAACCCCGGGACUGCAUUUGGAACUGUUAAGCUGGUGUGUCGGAGAG